GACGAACGCUGGCGGCGUGCUUAACACAUGCAAGUCGAGCGAUGAAAGCCUUAUGAACUAUUCGUAGUGAUUGGGGCCGGAUUAGCGGCGGACGGGUGAGUAACGCGUGAGCAACCUGCCUUAAACAACGGGAUAGCCUCGGGAAACCGGGAUUAAUACCGUAUGAGACCCCGCCUUCACAUGAAGAAGAGGUUAAAGAUUUAUCGGUUUAAGAUGGGCUCGCGUCCGAUUAGCUAGUUGGUGAGGUAAAAGCCCACCAAGGCAACGAUCAGUAACCGGCUUGAGAGAGUGAACGGUCACAUUGGAACUGAGACACGGUCCAAACUCCUACGGGAGGCAGCAGUGGGGAAUAUUGCACAAUGGGGGAAACCCUGAUGCAGCGACGCCGCGUGAGCGAUGAAGGAAUUCGUUUCGUAAAGCUCUGUCCAAGGGGAAGAUAAUGACAGUACCCUUGGAGGAAGCCCCGGCUAAAUACGUGCCAGCCGCCGCCGUAA
rnacentral:rRNA from 1 species